UGGGGAAUUUUGGACAAUGGGGGGAAACCCUGAUCCAGCCAUCCCGCGUGUGCGAUGAAGGCCUUCGGGUUGUAAAGCACUUUUGGCAGGAAAGAAACGUCGCGGGUUAAUACCCCGCGAAACUGACGGUACCUGCAGAAUAAGCACCGGCUAACUACGUGCCAGCAGCCGCGGUAAUACGUAGGGUGCAAGCGUUAAUCGGAAUUACUGGGCGUAAAGCGUGCGCAGGCGGUUCGGAAAGAAAGAUGUGAAAUCCCAGAGCUUAACUUUGGAACUGCAUUUUUAACUACCGGGCUAGAGUGUGUCAGAGGGAGGUGGAAUUCCGCGUGUAGCAGUGAAAUGCGUAGAUAUGCGGAGGAACACCGAUGGCGAAGGCAGCCUCCUGGGAUAACACUGACGCUCAUGCACGAAAGCGUGGGGGAGCAAACAGGAUUAGAUACCCUGGUAGUCCACGCCCUAAACGAUGUCAACUAGCUGUUGGGGGCCUUCGGGCCUUGGUAGCGCAGCUAACGCGUGAAGUUGACCGCCUGGGGAGUACGGUCGCAAGAUUAAAACUCAAAGGAAUUGG
rnacentral:rRNA from 1 species